UUCUGACAAGAAUCCGUGCAAUCACCAAGGGGAGUGGCUCUUCUCUAUUCAAGUGUUUGUGUGCGUCGUGUAUAGAGAUGGAGAAAGAGGAGAAAUCCUCUCAAAACAAGAAUGCAAGAUCUUUCCCAAAUCAAGGUUAAAUUGAAUGAUAAAACUUGCAUGAAUGAAGAUUCCUCACCAUCUAGCUCUAACAAUCAUGAGGAUGAACCACAUUAGCAUGGGCUGAAGCAUGGAAGGCUAAUGGGUCAAGAGGAGGCAAAGAAGCAAGCACGCGUACGGACGCUUAAGGUGUGAAGGAAGAAAGUUCAAACUCUAAGAAACCGGAAGGAUCACAAGACCGAGGUAAAACUCCACUUUAGGCGAUUUGGAGAUAUGGAGCGAGCACAUGUUCAAGCCUUAUUAUACCAAGCGCUUCCGCUAGUUUAUAUGCAUACUUUUUGGGUCCAUGUCUUGUAGUUUUGUUUAAUCUUGUUAGAAGUCUACACUUGAAAACUUGUUGUCUUUGUUUGGGGUAGUUUAAAGUUAAAUGGAUCGUAGAUUGUCGUUAGUUUAAUAUCUUAUAAACAGGGGGCAUGCUCGUUUUACGA
rnacentral:lncRNA from 1 species